rnacentral:rRNA from 1 species
ACCUACAGGAGGCAGCAGUGGGGGAUAUUGCACAAUGGGGGAAACCCUGAUGCAGCGACGCCGCGUGUGGGAAGACGGUCCUCUGGAUUGUAAACCACUGUCCCCAGGGACGAAGAAAGUGACGGUACCUGAGGAAUAAGCCACGGCUAACUACGUGCCAGCAGCCGCGGUAAUACGUAGGUGGCAAGCGUUAUCCGGAUUUAUUGGGUGUAAAGGGCGUGUAGGCGGGAGCGCAAGUCAGACGUGAAAACUCAGGGCUCAACCCUGAGCCUGCAUUUGAAACUGUGUUUCUUGAGUGCUGUAGA